UACGAAGGGCCCGAGCGUUAUUCGGAAUCACUGGGCUUAAAGGGUGCGUAGGCGGAAGGGUCAGUGUCUUGUGAAAUCCCGGUGCUCAACGCCGGAAUAGCAGGGCAUACUACCUUUCUUGAGGGUGGCAGAGGUUGCUGGAACUCUAGGUGUAGCGGUGAAAUGCGUAGAUAUCUAGGGGAACGCCAAAGGUGAAGACAGGCAACUGGGCCAUUCCUGACGCUGAGGCACGAAAGCGUGGGGAGCAAACAGG
rnacentral:misc_RNA from 1 species